GGGACCCGCACAAGCAGCGGAGCGUGUGGUUUAAUUCGUUGCUACACGAAGAACCUUACCUGGGUUUGACAUAUAGGUUGUAGGGAACUGAAAAGGGACCGACCCUUCGGGGAGCCUAUACAGGUGUUGCAUGGCUGUCGUCAGCUCGUGUCGUGAGAUGUUCGGUUAAGUCCGCUAACGAGCGCAACCCUCGUCGUAUGUUAUAUGUGUCAUACGAGACUGCCGGUAAAAGCCGGAGGAAGGUGAGGAUGAUGUCAAGUCAGCAUGACCUUUAUAUCCAGGGCUACACACACGCUACAAUGGUCUGUACAAUGGGUAGCCAAGCCGCGAGGCGGAGCCAAUCCUGAAAGCAGGCCUCAGUUCAGAUUGCAGUCUGCAACUCGACUGCAUGAAGCCGGAGUUGCUAGUAACCGCAGGUCAGCAAUACUGCGGUGAAUACGUUCCCGGGUCUU
rnacentral:rRNA from 1 species